GUGGGAGAAGGAGGCCACCGCAUCUCCAGGUCCCACCACAGCCCUGUGAGGCGGAUGCUGCUGUGCCCACCAUACAGCUGGGGGUUUUGGUUUUGGUCUUUGAUCUCUCUCCAUCCCACUAUGAUCUAAGCUCCGUGAGGACAGUGACUGCCUGGUUCACUCACUGCCAUAUGUAUAUAUCCAGUGUCUAGAAUAGCGGCCCUGGUCCCCAAGAACAUUUGCUAUAUGAACCAACAACCAAGCACAGCCCACAAGCCAGAUGAACCUGGAGCUCAGAGGUCCUGGGGAGAGCUAGCUUGUCAGGGGCAGUGCUGGGACUCAAAUCUGGGGCUCCUGCCCCCUCCUGACCAUCAUCACUCUGCUAGCUGCCCCAGAAGCAAAGGAACCACCCA
rnacentral:lncRNA from 10 species